rnacentral:lncRNA from 1 species
CCCAAUUUUGACAGACAUGUACAUUGCACCGGGUGGCAAUUACCCUGCCUUGCCACCCGUGGCAUCAACCCCCCAGGCUUAAUUAUUCAGUUUUGCUACUCAAGUAGAAGAAACUAGCUUAAACUUGAUUUAUUUAGUUUGUUUUUCAAGCGGCCAGGAUGAACAAUGCAUCGCUAGCUACCUUAUUUAUGUUCAAAAUUGUUCAUGGUGCAUACAUGGCAGAAUCAAUCAAUAUUUUUCAUCUUCGUUCAAAUCGCAGCGCGCACUUGCAUUUUAUUCUC